AUGAUGUUGGGCACCGAAGGUGGCGAGAGGGAUUCGUGGUGAAGGUCUGGGGCUUGCCUUGGUCUUGCUCGGCCGAAAAAGUACAGCGGUUUUUCUCUGACUGCAAAAUUCAAAAUGGGGCUCAAGGUGUUCGUUUCAUCUACACCAGAGAAGGCAGACCGAGUGGUGAGGCUUUUGUUGAACUUGAAUCAGAAGAUGAAGUCAAAUUGGCCCUGAAAAAUUUUAGACAGAGAAACUAUGGGACACAGAUAUGUUGAAAUAUCCAAGUCAAACAACGUUGAAAUGGAUUGGGUGUCGAAGCAUACUGGUCCAAAUAGUCCUGACACGGCCAAUGAUGGCUUUGUAUGGCUUAGAGGACUCCCCUUUGGAUGUAGCAAGGAAGAAAUUGUUCAGUUCUUCUCAGGGUUGGAAAUCAUGCCAAAUGGGAUAACAUUGCUGGUGGACUUCCAGGGGAGGAGUAUGGGGGAGGCCUUCAUGCAGUUUGCUUCACAGGAAAUAGCUGAAAAGGCUCCAAAGAAACACAAGGAAAGAAUAGGGCACAGGUAUAUCGAAAUCUUUAAGAGCAGUCGAGCUGAAGUUAGACUCACUAUGAUCCACCACGAAAACUUAUGGCCAUGCAGCGACCAGGUCCCUAUGACAGACCUGGGGCUGGCAGAGGGUAUAACAGCAUUGGAAGAGGAGCUGGCUUUGAAAGGAUGAGGCGUGGUGCUUACAGUGGAGGUUAUGGAGGCUAUGAUGAUUAUAAUGACUAUAAGGAUGGCUAUGGAUUUGGGUCAGAUGGAUUUGGAAGAGACCUCAAUUAUUGUUUUUCAGGAAUAUCAGAUCACAGAUACGAGGAUGGUGGCUCUACUUUCCAGAGCACAACAGGACACUGUGUACACAGGUGGGGAUUACCUUACAGAGCUACUGAGAAUGACAUUUAUAAAUUUUUUUCACCACUCAACCCUGUGAGAGUACAUAUUGAAACUGGUCCCGAUGGCAGAGUAACUGGUGAAGCAGAUGUCGAGUUUGCAACUCAUGAAGAUGCUGUGGCAGCUAUGGCAAAAGACAAAGCAAAAAUGCAACACAGAUAUGUAGAACUCUUCUUGAAUCCUACAGCAGGAGCAAGCGGUGGUGCUUACGGUUGCCAAAUGCUAGGAGGCAUGGGUUUGUCAAACCAGUCCAGUUAUGGCGGCCCAGCCAGCCAGCAGCUGAGUGGUGGUUAUGGAGGCAGCUAUGGUGGCCAGAGCAGCAUGAGUGGAUAUGACCAAGUUUUACAGGAAAACUCCAGUGAUUUUCAAUCAAACGUUGCAUAGGCAGCCAAGGAACAGUGAACAGCUACUACAAUAGUGGAAGCCAAGCAUCUAUGGGAGUGAACGGAAUGGGAGGGAUGUCUAGCGUGUCCAGUAUGAGUGGUGAAUGGGGAAUGUAAUUGAUCCUGAUCACUGACUCUUGGUCAACAAUUUUUAAAAGAAAAACAGAACUUAAGUUUUAACAGUUUUGCAACACAAACUUGUGGUUUAUGCUUACUCUAAGUGGAAAUCAGGAUUGUUUUAAAGACUUAAGUUUCAGUAUUUUUGAACACAUACAUUCAUUUAGGAUGUAACUAGGUUGAGUAAUCUGUUACUGUUAAAUAAUUUUCAGCUUUUCUCAAGUUAGUUAUAUUGUAGGAUGUACUUAAGCAGUAGGUGUAUUUAGGUUAAAGCGGUUGAAUUAUGUUAAAUGUUGCUUACACCACAUUACAUUGAGCACUGUUUGGACGCAUUGUUGAAAGACAUGCUUUUUUGUGAAACUCAAUAUAGGAGCUGUGUCUACAAUUAAAAGUGAAACAUUUGGCAUGUUUGUUAAUUUUAGUUUCAUUUAAUAACCUCUAUGGCACGUAAGUUUAAGCUUUAUUUUAAGUUAAUGGGGAAAAUUUGAGACGCAAU